AUUGAACGCUGGCGGCAGGCCUAACACAUGCAUGUCGAGCGCGAAGGUUCUUCGGAGUGAGUAAAGCGGCGGACGGGUGAGUAAUACAUGGGAAUCUGCCUGGUAGUGGGGGACAACGUUUCGAAAGGAACGCUAAUACCGCAUACGCCCUACGGGGGAAAGGGGGGGAUCUUCGGACCUCUCGCUAUCAGAUGAGCCCA
rnacentral:rRNA from 1 species